rnacentral:tRNA from 1 species
GGUUGUGGCUCAGUGGUAGAGCUCUUGUCUAGCAUAUGCAAGGCCCUGGGUUCGAUCCUCAGCACCA